rnacentral:rRNA from 1 species
AGAGUUUGAUCCUGGCUCAGGAUGAACGCUGGCGGUAUGCUUAACACAUGCAAGUCGAACGGGAAUCUUAGGAUUCUAGUGGCGGACGGGUGAGUAACGCGUGAGAAUCUGCCUUCAGGUUCGGGACAACAGUUGGAAACGACUGCUAAUACCGGAUGUGCCGAGAGGUGAAAGGCUUGCUGCCUGAAGAAGAGCUCGCGUCUGAUUAGCUAGUAGGUGGUGUAAGGGACUACCUAGGCGACGAUCAGUAGCUGGUCUGAGAGGAUGAUCAGCCACACUGGGACUGAGACACGGCCCAGACUCCUACGGGAGGCAGCAGUGGGGAAUUUUCCGCAAUGGGCGAAAGCCUGACGGAGCAAUACCGCGUGAGGGAGGAAGGCUCUUGGGUUGUAAACCUCUUUUCUCAGGGAAUAAGAAAGUGAAGGUACCUGAGGAAUAAGCAUCGGCUAACUCCGUGCCAGCAGCCGCGGUAAUACGGAGGAUGCAAGCGUUAUCCGGAAUGAUUGGGCGUAAAGCGUCCGCAGGUGGUUUAUCAAGUCUGCUGUCAAAGAAUGAGGCUUAACCUCAUCAAGGCAGUGGAAACUGAGAGGCUAGAGUGCGUUCGGGGCAGAAGGAAUUCCUGGUGUAGCGGUGAAAUGCGUAGAGAUCAGGAAGAACACCGGUGGCGAAAGCGUUCUGCUAGGCCGCAACUGACACUGAGGGACGAAAGCUAGGGGAGCGAAUGGGAUUAGAUACCCCAGUAGUCCUAGCCGUAAACGAUGGAUACUAGGCGUUGUCUGUAUCGACCCGGACAGUGCCGUAGCUAACGCGUUAAGUAUCCCGCCUGGGGAGUACGCACGCAAGUGUGAAACUCAAAGGAAUUGACGGGGGCCCGCACAAGCGGUGGAGUAUGUGGUUUAAUUCGAUGCAACGCGAAGAACCUUACCAGGGCUUGACAUGUCGCGAAUCUUGAUGAAAGUCGAGAGUGCCUUCGGGAGCGCGAACACAGGUGGUGCAUGGCUGUCGUCAGCUCGUGUCGUGAGAUGUUGGGUUAAGUCCCGCAACGAGCGCAACCCUCGUUUUUAGUUGCCAGCAUUAAGUUGGGCACUCUAGAGAGACUGCCGGUGACAAACCGGAGGAAGGUGGGGAUGACGUCAAGUCAGCAUGCCCCUUACGUCCUGGGCUACACACGUACUACAAUGCUACGGACAGAGGGCAGCAAGCUAGCGAUAGCAAGCAAAUCCCGGAAACCGUGGCUCAGUUCAGAUCGCAGGCUGCAACUCGCCUGCGUGAAGGAGGAAUCGCUAGUAAUUGCAGGUCAGCAUACUGCAGUGAAUUCGUUCCCGGGCCUUGUACACACCGCCCGUCACACCAUGGAAGCUGGUCACGCCCGAAGUCAUUACCCCAACCGUUUGGAGGGGGAUGCCUAAGGUAGGACUGGUGACUGGGGUGAAGUCGUAACAAGGUAGCCGUACCGGAAGGUGUGGCUGGAUCACCUCCUUUUAGGGAGACCUACCCCUUCAGAGAGUGAGCAAUUGGUAUUAACUCCUGAUGUGGUCAUACCCUAGGUCGGUCGAGGUUGGUUAACUUUCAAAGUAUUAUUUAAGGUUCGGAUUCAAGAAAAAAAGGAAGAGUUCAGCACCUGUGAGGAACAGAAUGCUGGAUUUAUAUCCAGUCAGAACCAUGAAAACUGCAUAAGAAAAAGCGAGAAAAAGAAAAGCAGGCAGUGAAAUGUCUUGAGGGACAGGAAACUGCGGAUUUUCAACCAAUGAAAAGUGGUCAAGCUAAUAAGAGCAAAUGGUGGAUACCUAGGCACACAGA